rnacentral:rRNA from 1 species
UACAGAGGUGGCAAGCGUUGUUCGGAAUUACUGGGCGUAAAGGGCGCGUAGGCGGCGCGAGGAGUCGGGGGUGAAAGUCCGGGGCUCAACCCCGGAUCGGCCUUCGAUACUCUCGCGCUGGAGCACAGUAGAGGCGGGUGGAAUUCCGGGUGUAGCGGUGGAAUGCGUAGAGAUCCGGAGGAACACCAGAGGCGAAGGCGGCAUUCUGGACGACAUCAGACGCUGAGACGCGACAGCACGGGGAGCGAACGGG